ACCGUGUUAGCCAGGAUGGUCUCGAACUCCUGAUCUUGUGAUCUGCCUGCCUCAGCCUCCCAAAGUGCCGGGAUUACAGGUGUGAGCCACUGCACCCGGCUGGUUCAUGCAAUUCUUGUGCCUAGCCUCCCAAGUAGCAGAGAUAACAGGCGUGUACAACCACCCCCAGCUAAUUUUUGUAUUUUUAGUACAGAUGGGGUUUUACCAUGUUGGCCAGCUUGGUCUCAAAUUCCUGACCUCAGGUCAUUUACCCACCUCGGCCUCCCAAAGUGCUGGGAUUAUAGGCGUGAGCCACCACAUCCAGCCCUGAAUUUUCAUUUCUCUUUCCUCUCAGUGAAAAUUGCUACCAAGGCCAAUCCAUGGAUUGGGAACUCCCUGAAGCCUGACAGUGUCCGAUCCCAGCUGGAGACGUCACUGAAGCGGCUGCAGUGUCCCUGAGUGGACCUCUUCUAUCUACAUGCACCUGACCACAGCGCCCCGGUGGAAGAGACACUGCGUGCCUGCCACCAGCUGCACCAGGAGGGCAAGUUCGUGGAGCUUGGCCU
rnacentral:lncRNA from 10 species